rnacentral:tRNA from 1 species
GGCGCUGUGGCUCAGCAGGUUAAAGCCCUGGCCUGAAGCACCGGCAUCCCAUAUGGUCCCUGGUUCUAGUCCUGGCUGCUCCU